CACCGCGGUUAUACGAGAGACCCAAGUUGUUAGCCAACGGCGUAAAGGGUGGUUAGAAACAUUUCAACAAACUGAGACCGAACACCUUCAAGGCUGUUAUACGCUUCCGAAGCAACGAAGAACAAUAACGAAAGUAGCCUCAUUAAUUCGAACCCACGAAAGCUAGGGCA
rnacentral:rRNA from 2 species